CUAUGUAUCCAUUUGCAGCCAUA
rnacentral:siRNA from 1 species